rnacentral:rRNA from 1 species
GACGAACGCUGGCGGCGUGCCUAAUACAUGCAAGUUGAGCGCUGAAGGUUGGUACUUGUACCGACUGGAUGAGCAGCGAACGGGUGAGUAACGCGUGGGGAAUCUGCCUUUGGGCGGGGGACAACAUUUGGAAACGAAUGCUAAUACCGCAUAAAAACUUUAAACACAAGUUUUAAGUUUGAAAGAUGCAAUUGCAUCACUCAAAGAUGAUCCCGCGUUGUAUUAGCUAGUUGGUGAGGUAAAGGCUCACCAAGGCGAUGAUACAUAGCCGACCUGAGAGGGUGAUCGGCCACAUUGGGACUGAGACACGGCCCAAACCCCUACGGGAGGCAGCAGUAGGGAAUCUUCGGCAAUGGACGAAAGUCUGACCGAGCAACGCCGCGUGAGUGAAGAAGGUUUUCGGAUCGUAAAACUCUGUUGGUAGAGAAGAACGUUGGUGAGAGUGGAAAGCUCAUCAAGUGACGGUAACUACCCAGAAAGGGACGGCUAACUACGUG